CCUACGGGAGGCAGCAGUGGGGAAUAUUGGGCAAUGGGCGCAAGCCUGACCCAGCAACGCCGCGUGAAGGAAGAAGGCUUUCGGGUUGUAAACUUCUUUUCUCAGGGACGAAGCAAGUGACGGUACCUGAGGAAUAAGCCACGGCUAACUACGUGCCAGCAGCCGCGGUAAUACGUAGGUGGCAAGCGUUAUCCGGAUUUACUGGGUGUAAAGGGAGUGUAGGCGGGGAGGUAAGUCAGAUGUGAAAACCACGGGCUCAACCUGUGGCCUGCAUUUGAAACUGUGUUUCUUGAGUACUGGAGAGGCAGACGGAAUUCCUAGUGUAGCGGUGAAAUGCGUAGAUAUUAGGAGGAACACCAGUGGCGAAGGCAGUCUGCUGGACAGCAACUGACGCUGAGGCGCGAAAGCGUGGGGAGCAAACAGGAUUAGAUACCCUUGUAGUC
rnacentral:rRNA from 1 species